CACCGAAGCUAAAGUUGGGCCCCUGUUGGUGCGGGAGCGUCGGGUAAAAAAAGUGUCGGGAUAAAACAGUUGAUGUCUGAAAUGGGGACACUUUUUUACCGACGCUCCCGCACCAACAGGGGCCCAACUUUAGCUUCGGUGC
rfam:Gossypium raimondii Chr10_contig_240, whole genome shotgun sequence.